rnacentral:rRNA from 1 species
UACGUAGGGGGCAAGCGUUGUCCGGAAUCAUUGGGCGUAAAGAGCGUGUAGGCGGCCCGGUAAGUCCGCCGUGAAAGUCCAGGGCUCAACCCUGGGAUGCCGGUGGAAACUGUCGGGCUCGAGUCCGGAAGAGGCGAGUGGAAUUCCUGGUGUAGCGGUGAAAUGCGCAGAUAUCAGGAGGAACACCGGUGGCGAAGGCGCCACUCUGGGCCGGUACUGACGCUGAGGAGCGAAAGCGUGGGUAGCAAACAGG